rnacentral:rRNA from 1 species
CAGCGUAGGGGGCAAGCGUUGUCCGGAUUUAUUGGGCGUAAAGAGCUCGUAGGUGGUUCGGUAAGUCGGGUGUUAAACCCCCAGGCUCCGACCUGGGACGCCGACGUCGAUACUGCUGGUGACUAGAGUCCGGUAGGGGAGCGUAGGAAUUCCGUGUGUAGCGGUGAAAUGCGCAGAUAUCAGGAGGAACACCGAUGGCGAAGGCAGAUCUCUGGGCCAUUACUGACGCUGAGGAGCGAAAGCGUGGGGAGCGAACAGG